CAUAUAUUUCGCAGAUAAACCACAAAUAAAAUAUAUAUCUACAAGAAAGAGUAACAAUGAAACUUGUAGUCGCAGUUUUGUGCUUGACUCUGUUACUGGCAGUCAGUGAUGCAAAACCCAAAAGAGAGAUUCGUGCACCGGCCAUUGAACAACCUUGGAAGAGAGAGACGGAACGUGACCUUGACCGAAGGGUGAUUUUCAUAAGGGAAGAUGAACGUGAUGUUCGUGGAGCUCAUAUACCUGUGGCAUAAUUCAAGGCACCUGUAUGAAAUGGAGAAUGAAACGAAAUAAAAUAGUGUCAAUCAACUA